CAGAAGGCCAAAACAUCUGUCAGCUGAGCAGU
rnacentral:piRNA from 1 species